GACGAACGCUGGCGGCGUGCUUAACACAUGCAAGUCGAACGAAGUGGCGAAAGGGUGAGUAAUACGUGGGUAACCUGCCCUCCUUUUUGGGAUAAGCCUUGGAAACGGGGUCUAAUACCGAAUAAAGGGGGAUGGGCGCGCGGCCUAUCAGCUUGUUGGUGGGGUGAUGGCCUACCAAGGCGGUGACGGGUAGCCGGCCUGAGAGGGUGAGCGGCCACAGUGGGAGUAGGAAACGGCCGGAAAUCCUACAUGAGGCAGCAGUGGGGAAUUUUGCAAAAUGGAGGGAACUCUGAUGCAGCGACGCCGGGUAAACGAAGAAGGCUUUCGAGACGUAAAGUACUUUCGGUACCAUAAGAAAAAGCCCCGGCUAACUACGUGCCAGCAGCCGCGGUAAUAC
rnacentral:rRNA from 1 species